UGGGGAAUAUUGCACAAUGGGCGCAAGCCUGAUGCAGCCAUGCCGCGUGUAUGAAGAAGGCCUUCGGGUUGUAAAGUACUUUCAGCGGGGAGGAAGGGAGUAAAGUUAAUACCUUUGCUCAUUGACGUUACCCGCAGAAGAAGCACCGGCUAACUCCGUGCCAGCAGCCGCGGUAAUACGGUGGGUGCAAGCGUUAAUCGGAAUUACUGGGCGUAAAGCGCACGCAGGCGGUUUGUUAAGUCAGAUGUGAAAUCCCCGGGCUCAACCUGGGAACUGCAUCUGAUACUGGCAAGCUUGAGUCUCGUAGAGGGGGGUAGAAUUCCAGGUGUAGCGGUGAAAUGCGUAGCGAUCUGGAGGAAUACCGGUGGCGAAGGCGGCCCCCUGGACGAAGACUGACGCUCAGGUGCGAAAGCGUGGGGAGCAAACAGG
rnacentral:rRNA from 1 species